rnacentral:rRNA from 1 species
UACCGACAGCCAGGCGCCGACCGGGUGUCCGAAUCGGGUAAAGCGCGGUAUCUAGACUACACGCUCGGUUUAACGGGCGUCGAGCCGUUUAAAAGCCGGGUAGCAGCGACCAGUUUCGGAUGCCAUUUUCUUUUAGGGGAAAGUGGCUCGAGAAAGGUCUCUCGCGCUCUCGUAGGGUUUAGGGAUCGGAGGCGGCGACCACAUGGGGUUUAGGGAGCGACGGCCGACGUCAAGGAGUUUAGGAUCGGAGGGGCUUGGAGAGUGGGCGAGGACGCGAGAUAAGGAGUCGAGCGGUUGGUGACUUGGCGUCGGAGUUGUAGCUUGCAGCGACAGGAGCAGAGUCUGCGGCGGCGGCGGCAGGAGCAGGGUCGGCACCAGCAGCGGCAGGUUCAGUGUCGGCGGCGGCAGAGGCAGGUUCAGGGUCGGCGGCGGCAGCGGCAGGAGCAGGUUCGGUGGCGGUGCCGGCAGGAGCAGGGUCAGCGGAAGCAGUGGCAGGGCGGUGGCGUCGAGGUAGCAGGAGGUUGGCGGCAGGCAAGGGGUAGUUCAGUAGAGUAGGAGACGGAUCACAUCCUUCACCACUCCGAGCGAACCUAGGUCGUGUCCCGCAAAGGUGAGAUGACCGACCGAUAAUUGAGUCGAAUCUAGAACCUAGACGAUCACCUGAAACCCUCAAACAAUCUGUCGAACCACUGAGGUGUGAAAAAGUGAUAAAGUCGUUCGGAAACUUAUUGUACCAAAUUCCUUGUACGUACCGGAGUAGAAACACGAAUAACCACGAGUUUCUGCAAGUUCAGGAAGUCCUUCCCUCCCGUCCUUAGGGCUAAGUUCUCACUUCCACAACGAGUUUUAGCCCCUCCAAGCGAAGGUAAACACCUCCGAGCUGUUUAAGACCGACUCUUUAUACCUGGACUCUUCCGAUGGUGCGACUUAUGUAUACGACGUUACUUUAGACCUGAGUUCUUAACCCUACCGUCACCAUCGUGGUCGUGCUGGGAGUCGCCCUUCCGUUUUUUACGAAACUACUAAUGAGACUAAACCGAUCUCGGCGUGUAGGACUACUUACCCUCGUCGCUCUCAACCUACCCGUUUAUAAUAUACUUAGUAGUCCACCGUAAGGGGUACCCGCUGAUCGUUAUCGUCUACCCCGCUAAUUCUUCCGACUACAAUAGAGUUAUCGAUCUCUUUUCUUUAACUCCGGCAGUUGAAGUCGUCGUGUAGCUGCUUGACAAGUUCUUUUACUUCUCGACUUCGCUGUAUUACUCUUGGACGUCGCUGUAUUACUCUUGGACGUUGUAUUUCACCUAUACGUACUUGCCUAGGAUCACAAUGAAAGUUUAAACAGGUGUAUAAAGUCUAACCACUAACUUUUUUGAUCGAUAAGAUUACUACGUAUAAAAAAAGUAUCCGGGAAAAAUUCCUCUACCCUUUUCUUGAUGGUUGCCUCGAUGUGGUUCCUCGCUCAAGGGUUGGUGUACCCUGUGGAUUAAGUAGAGUAUACUCUGGGGUUUGGAGGCUAUUGUUGUGACCACUACUACUAGACCCACGUUUACCACCACGACUGUUGAGGUCACCCUUAUGGUCACUGUUGUUGCAAUCACGGCCACCACCGCUGUGAUCAAGGUUGUAAGCACUUUGACUCUGGAUCUUAGUAUCUACCACCAACAUUGGAACCAUCACGGAAAACAACUGAACCUCGGUCUGAAAUCUUGAUUACAACCACAACCGUUGUUUCGUCGUAAAACGAUCAACGUUCUGAAAUCUUGAUUUCCACCACAAACGUUGUUCCAUCGUAAAACCAUCAACGUUCUGAAAUCUACUUGACACUACAUGAAAGGAACAUUAAGAAACCCAUACGUUUUGACUACCAAUAGGAACAUUCGACUCUUGACAAUACAUCUAACAAAGACUACGAAACCUACACGUUUUAACUACCUACAUAGAUUACUAAUACUAAAAAUAACUACUAAUCUA